GACGAACCGUCCAAACGUUAUUCGGAAUCACUGGGCUUACAGAGUUCGUAGGCGAUCUGGAAAGUUGGGUGUGAAAUCCCUCGGCCUAACCGAGGAACUGCGCUUGAAACUACCAGACUCGAGGGAGAUAGAGGAAAGCGGAACUGAUGGUGGAGCGGUGAAAUGCGUUGAUAUCAUCAGGAACACCGGUGGCGAAGGCGGCUUUCUGGGUCUUACCUGACGCUGAGGAACGAAAGCCAGGGGAGCGAACGGG
rnacentral:rRNA from 1 species